AAAUUGAAGAGUUUGAUCAUGGCUCAGAUUGAACGCUGGCGGCAGGCCUAACACAUGCAAGUCGAACGGUAACAGGAAACAGCUUGCUGUUUCGCUGACGAGUGGCGGACGGGUGAGUAAUGUCUGGGAAACUGCCUGAUGGAGGGGGAUAACUACUGGAAACGGUAGCUAAUACCGCAUAAUGUCGCAAGACCAAAGAGGGGGACCUUCGGGCCU
rnacentral:rRNA from 1 species